CGAUCCAAUCUCUGCUCUUGCUCAUGUCCUAAAUACUCACCUCUCAUGCCCAUCUCAACCGGCCCCCAUAACAACCCCUUCCACGGCAUUGAUUCCUCAUGUCCCUUCCGCCAGUCCUAGUUAUCCAAUCAUGGUGGUUGGGUCCGAGGUGUCUGUGACAUCGGACCAACCCUAUGCGAUGGGUGCUUCCCCCCAGGCCUCAGGUUUCCACCCAACUACCUCUCCUAUCACCGGCCUCCCUGCCGCCCCCGCCACAGCUACUCCUGAGACUACUCUUCACCGCGGCCCGGUGGUACCCGAGGAGGUCGUUGUGGUGGACCAGGGCUCACCUCGCCUAGGGGGGAACAGGCACCCCCAACGGCACUCUAUCCCCCAGGGUUAUACCCAGAUUAACC